GGCGCGGAGAAGCGGGACUCCCGGGGCGCUCCUCCGGGGCUGGUGAAACGGCAGCACCGGGCCGGGAGGAUUCUCAGUCCUCGCGCCUGGCGCACUCGGGCCCCACCCGCUCGGGUCGGAGGGUAUGAUUGGCUCUCUGGAACGCCAGUCACAGCUCGGCGCCCGGCCCGGGGCACAGAGCCCCACCCUCCCGCUUGGACCAGGCAGGGCUGCUCUCCGCUCUCCCGGGAGGAGCGCCGUCCCGCCGUGACCCGGGCUGUUCGGCCUCAGCGUGGUUCCCCCACGCACCUGCUCGCCCCUGCCCAGGGCCCAUGAAAGGAGCCGGACGGGCACUUCUAGUAGUUAUCGGGUUCCAGAUGCCACAGCACGAAGUGGGAACUCAGAAAGGAAAUUGCCUGCCUUUGACUUGAUCAGUGCGAAUCUUGACUAAGGCUGGAAUCCUCCCCGUGGGCGGGUGGAAGAGAGAAACCUGGAGUCACUGGCACCACGGAUGUGGAAAGGUCUCAGUUGCGGCGUAAGGGAUCUAGUUCCCUGAACAGGGAUUGAACCCAGGACCUCUGCAUUGGGAGCAUGGAGUCUUAGCCACUGGACCACCAGGGAAGUCCCAGAAAGGAUGUUAAUUUCUGGUGAGCCAGGAUCAUUGAUGAACUUCGGGUGUCUCAGAGAAAAUGAGAUUUCAUCCACAGUGAAAAGCCCUAUCAGCAAAUCUCUGAGAAGGAAUUAGACUUUAUAGCAACCACCGCUCAAACCACUUCGAAGCCACUUCUGUGUCAGGAACUUCACCUUUUUUAACGCUGCUUCUCCAAAGCCAGUUGCUUUUCUUGUCACCUUUGCCAGUGAAAUGAAUGGAGGGGAGAUUCCCAUUUCCUCCUGUUGCUUAACUGUGAAUUGAAGUCUCAGCUGCAUGGAUUUGAUUUAUUAAAAUUUUUUUAACUUA